UGGGAAGUGCACACAGAAUGCCAGUCACGGAGUGGGAGGAAGUGUGAGUUUGGUACUUAGGGCCAGCUCGGGGAAUCCCCAGGUGAGGUUUCCCUAGCUCUUGGCCAGGCUUCCUGCUGGAGCCUCGAAGGCAAUUGGCAAGAAUCAGCGUCACUUUAAGAUCAGUGUCUCUGAUAGUCUCAUCUCCCUCUCUCCCAAUCUCCCUUCUCGGACUCACAGAAUUCAUACGUUUAUGCUCUGGGUUGUGUGGGAGAGAAGGCCUUCUCUAGCAGUGUCCUGCACAAAUUGGGUAAGCCAGGCGCUCACUUGGUCUCCCUUUUUUUCUCAUGGGAGGAAUACCAGCUUUCUUUUUUUCUCUAAAGUGUGCCACCUUCUGGGAGGAAUAAUGCUUGCAAAGUUCCUCCCACCCACUCCAAGGCAUCCAAACUCCUCUGGGUUGUUUUUUGUUUUUUCGCGCUGGAACUUUUCCUCCAUAAACCUGCCCAAGUCUGAGAGAGACUGCCCAAGUCUGUGUUUUCCAGGCACCACGAGCAAAAGGGAUUGGAUCUGGUUCACAGGAUCCUGCUGGUUCCACUGGGGUCUAUCUCUAUUAUCCAGUACACAGGUUCCGAGGCAUAUAUCUAAAGCACGGAUUCCAUUUCUCAACCGGCUGUGACCUUGAUCCAUGACCAAGCCCUUUGAGCAGAAUUUUUUCAUACGAACAAGACCCUUGGUAAACUGUGGUCUGGAAGUAGACGAUUCUCCUGACAUAACAUCAGAAGGUCAGCAGUAGCCUAACACUCCAUCUCCCUGCCUGCCUACAUCAUUCGUCUCAGUUCAUCUCAUCACAUAGGCAUUUUAUCGUCGCAACCAUCGCACGAGGAAUGAGACACCACAGGGCCAGGAACGCCAGCAGGGGUGAGCACACCCUAAUAAGCGCACCGUCCAGGCAGUUUCUUUCCUUUCUGUGGCCGAAGGCUCCCUUCUUCCAGCUGGAUGCACCAGGCUGGGCGGGUUGAGAAUGCUCCUUCUGCCCCCCUCCUGCAGCACCAGGGGAGGCCACGGGAGCCCCUGCGGUACCAGAUAAACCGAGACCAAAAUAACACUGACUCUGAAGAUUGUCACUGGAACCACAGAACCCAAAAGUGGGCCAGGGUGCGCAUGCUACAUCUAAAGAAGCUGACUCCCUACUAAAAUAAGGACGGAUAGCUCCCAGAGUCUCCAAACGUAAUGGUCAAAAUAGAGAAUCAUGUUCCUUGGUAUUGACCCGAAGAAGCUGGAAUCUUACAUCCACAUAAAAACCUGCACAAGGAUGUCAGCAGCCUUAUUCAUAAUUGCCAACAUUGGGAAGCAAUCAAGAUGUCCUUCAGUGGCUGAGUGGUUAAACAGACUACGGAACAUUCAGACAAGGCAGUAUUAUUCACAGCUGUGCAGCAAUAAGCUACCAGUGCAUGAAAAUACUUGGAGGAAACUUAAAUGCGCAUUACUAAGUGAAAGAAAGCACUUUGAAAAAGUUUAUGAUCCCAACUAUACGACUUUCUGGAAAAAGCAAAGCUAUGGAAACAAUAAAAAGGUCAGUGGUUAUGGUAGUGGGGGGCUAGAAGGUGAUAAAUUAGCAGAGCAAAGAGGUGUGCCCUAUUUUAUGGUUGAGAUGUGUUUGCCUUCAGUCUAGUUGUUUGCAAUGGCUCUCUUGGCCUGUUAUAGGCAGGGUUUGGUCUCCGUGAUGUUAAAGGGCCAGUCUUAGGCCACCUUGGGC